rnacentral:rRNA from 1 species
GCUUAUCACCAUUCCAGAUUGAAUAUACCCGAUCUCGUCUGAUCUAGGAAGUCAAGCAAUCUCGGGCUUGGUUAGUACUUGGAUGGGUGACCGCUUGGGAAUACCAAGUGUGAUGAGCA